rnacentral:rRNA from 1 species
AGACCCCUUCACACCUGUGCACGAACCCGUCGGACGGGAGUGGUGCAUCACGCGCCCUCCGGUCUGGCCCUUCACAUCAGCUUAUUAUCGUACGUCGAAUGCAUCACUGCGCACGCGCAACCGAAAUACAACUUUUAACAACGGAUCUCUUGGUUCUCGCAUCGAUGAAGAACGCAGCGAAAUGCGAUAAGUAAUGUGAAUUGCAGAAUUCAGUGAAUCAUCGAAUCUUUGAACGCACCUUGCGCUCCUUGGUAUUCCGAGGAGCAUGCCCGUUUGAGUGUCUUGAUAUCAUCAAACGCCCCUGCCUUUUCUGGUGGGUCGGCGAUUUGGACUUGGACGUGCUGCUGGGCGCUCUGCGCUCGGCUCGUCUUGAAUGCAUUAGCUGGAUCUCCCUCCGGCCUUGGACCUUAUGGCGUGAUAAGAUCACCCGUCGAGCAGUCCUUGGUCAACGUUGGGUUCCGCUUCCAACCGUCCCCCCGUGGACAACACCGAAACCUGGUUUUCGACAUCUGACCUCAAAUCGGGUAGGACUACCCGCUGAACUUAAGCAUAUCAAUAAGCGGAGGA